rnacentral:lncRNA from 1 species
GGAUCCUAUCAAUGGAGUUUUCGUUGGAAGAGCAAGAAGUCAACGGGAACGGCGAUGAUUCUGAGCGCCUUCGUGUCGGCGUGCGCCUCGAAGCUCGCGGGCCUGAUCGCCGACAGGAUCGCCGCCGGCCUCGGCGUGGAGGACGACGUCCGGAGCCUGCAGCGGCGGAUGGAGCGCGUGGCGGGUGCCGUUCUCGCGGACGCGGAGCGGCGGCGGCGCCGCCUGACGGGCGAGCACGAGGCGUCCGCCGGCGCGUGGAUCGACGAGCUCAGGGACUUCCUCUACGACGCCGACGACGUGCUCGACCUCUGCAGGUGCCGCGGUGAGCGCCUUCUAGCGGAACGCCGGCCACGCUCACGGCCACUGAUGGCGACGGUGAAUCUGGUCUCGUCACUCCAAAAACUGCAGGCUCGGCUUGAGAUUGGGGCACAGAUUAGUCGCCUGAACCGCAGAUUCGAGGAGAUAUGCAAGGAUAGGCUGUUCUUGAGCCUCGCCGUCGAUGACUCCAAGGCGGAGGACGGCGGCUCCCGCGGUGGCGGUGGCGGCGGCAGCCGGGUUCGAACACGUACGAGCACCCCUCUGCUGGACACCAACGUGGUGGGAAAAGAAAUCAAGAGCGCGACGGAGGCGCUGGUGGAGAAGAUAAUGCGCGACGACGGCCGUGGAGAGGUCGUCGCCGUCGUCGGGAUGGGCGGCAUCGGCAAGACGACGCUGGCGCAGAGGGUGUUCAGCAGCCGGAGGAUCACCGGCGGGUUCCCCGUGCGGGCGUGGCUGUGCAUCUCGAGGGAGUACUCGGAGACGGACACGGUGAAGGAGGCCAUCCGCUGCUGCGGCGGCGACUACGGCCGCGCCGAGACGCUGGCGGAGCUGCAGCUGAUCCUCCGCUCGGCCGUCGCCGGGAAGCGCGUCUUCCUCGUCCUCGACGACGUGUGGGACGCCGGCGUGUGGACGUCGCUGCUUCGCAUCCCCUUCCAUGGCGCCACGGGGAGAGUCCGAGUCCUCAUCACCACCCGGGACCAGAGAGUCGCCGCCAGAGCUGGCGCCAACCACAUCCAUCAGGUGAAGCGCCUAGGCUCCGACUCCGGCUGGGAGCUGCUCCACAGGACGGCGCGCCUCGACGGCGCAGACGAGAUGCAGAGCCUGAGAGAUGUUGGCAUGGCCAUCGUCGCCAAAUGCGGCUUCCUCCCCCUCACCAUCAAGGUGAUCGGAGGGCUCCUGAUGACGAAGCGCAGGAGCAGAGCCGAGUGGGAGAGAGUUCUUGGCAGCGACGCGUGGUCCACGGCCGAGCUCCGCGACGAGUUCAAAGGAGCAAUCUUACUGAGCUACGAGGACUUGCCACCUCAUCUCAAGCAAUGCUUCCUCUACUUCUCCCUCUUCCCUGCCGACUUCGUCUACUACCGUUGUCAUAUCUGCAGGCAAUGGGUCGCCGAAGGGUUCAUCGCUGCAUCAGGACAACACAUGGCGGAGGAGAUCGCUGAAGCGAGGAGCAUCUUGCAGCCGCACCCGGAUUAUCUCGCCGACCAGAGCAGGUGCACCGUGCACGAUGUGUUGAGAUCAUUUGCACAGCAUUUGUCGAGGAGGGAAAGCAUCUGCGGAGAUUUACAGGCAGUCGGUUGUUCUUCGUUCCUAGUCAAGCUCCGCCGACUGUCGCUGAUGAACCUAGAAGAGGCAAUGGUGCCCUGCAAUGCAAUCUCCCGUGAUCGAAAAUGUUUCCGGACUCUGUUUCUAAUGGCCAUCCCAAAGGUUGAUGGUAGGCUAGUGGUAAGGUUUUCCGGUCUUCGAACACUGUUCCUUAGUGACUGUAACAUCGGCAAACUUCCCGAUUCAAUUGGGGAUCUGAUGCACCUGAGGUAUCUAGGCUUCGACACUGUUGACAUACCAGCACUACCGGAGAGCAUCGGCCACCUUACGAAUCUGCAGUUUCUGAAUGUCAAGAGGUGCACAUUGCUUACCGCGUUGCCAAGAGCACUCACUCGCAUUCAGAGUUUACGGCGCCUUGGAAUUGAAGAAACACCGAUAAGAUUGGUGCCCCGCGGCAUUGGAGGGCUGCAUUCCCUCGUUGAUUUGCAAGGGUUCAUAGUGGGUAAUGCAAUUAGUAGCAGCACAAUGCAGCAAGGGUGGAUCUUGACAGAGCUUGAAAGUCUCUCCCGGCUAAAAUGGCUUCGUAUUGAUAGUUUGGAAAAAGCAGCAAUUGACAAUGUAGAUAUCCUUGCUACCAAACAACAUCUGAAGAGAUUAGAGCUGUCGUGUUCUCUAAAAUCAAAUGGUGACAAUGACCCAUGGGACGAAAUAGAGGUUAAAAAGACUGAAGCAAUCUUUGAGAAGUUACUUCCUGCAAGUUGUUUAGAGGACCUUCUCAUCAGAGGAUUCUUUGGCCGAAAAUUUCCAAUAUGGAUGGAGUCAUCUUCUCUCUGCAAUGUGACAUGGUUGAAACUUAUUGACUGCAGGUUCUGCCUCAAAUUUCCACCAUUGGGUCAGCUGCCACAUCUGACCUUCCUUAAGAUUGUGCGCGCAAAUUCUGUCAUCGCAAUAUUCCCUUGUCUGCGUCAACUUGAACUGAAGGACUGUCCAAAACUCAGAGCUCUACCUGAACAGCUGAAGCAUGCCACCAAGAUGCAGAGGCUGCGCAUACAGGGAGUUCAUGCACUGAAGAAGAUUGAGAACCUUCAUGAACUUUCAGGCUCGCUACGUAUCAACGGAAGCCGCUCUCUCGCGAGCAUUUCAGACCUGUAUCAGAUCAAAGAGCUCUAUGUAGCUGACUGCACUGCUCUGCAGUUUGUGAACAAUCUAAAUGCGUUGAAGUGGCUGUACCUCGAAGAUGAGACGAUGGACUGUAUCCCGAUGUGGCUGUCGAGGCUGACAGAGAAUGGUGAGCAAGCCGGUGAAGACGGCCUCGAGUUGGAGCUGCAUUGCAGCACUGACAUGCUGGAUAGGUGCCUAAUGGGGCGUCAGGAUUGGACAAUCAUGGAGAGGUUCACAAGUGUUGCUGCAUAUUGCAAAGAAGAUUACAUGUGCUAUUCGAGACACCCAGUUAGCUACCACACAAGCAAGAGUGUUUCAAACUCAAAAUAGAAAUGCAUGAGUUAGCUACUGCCUUGUGUAUAUCUGUUUGGACAAGAAAUGCAAGAUUAGUCAAUUCAUUAAACUUGA